UAGUAGGUGCUAUGUCAGGCUC
rnacentral:piRNA from 1 species